ensembl:rRNA 5S_rRNA 5S ribosomal RNA
GUCUGUGGCCAUGCUACCUUGAACAACAAGCCUGAUCUCGUUUAAUCUCAGAAGCUAAGCAGGGUCAGGCCUGGUUAGUACUUGGAUGGGAGACCACCUAGGAAGACCAGGUGCUAUAAGCA